rnacentral:rRNA from 1 species
AUUGAACGCUGGCGGCAUGCUUUACACAUGCAAGUCGAACGGUAACAGGUCUUCGGAUGCUGACGAGUGGCGAACGGGUGAGUAAUACAUCGGAACGUGCCUAGUAGUGGGGGAUAACUACUCGAAAGAGUAGCUAAUACCGCAUGAGAUCUACGGAUGAAAGCAGGGGACCUUCGGGACUUGUGCUACAAGAGCGGCUGAUGGCAGAUUAGGUAGUUGGUGGGGUAAAGGCUUACCAAGCCUGCGACCUGUAGCUGGUCUGAGAGGACGACCAGCAACACUGGGACUGAGACACGGCCCAGACUCCUACGGGAGGCAGCAGUGGGGAAUUUUGGACAAUGGGCGAAAGCCUGAUCCAGCAAUGCCGCGUGCAGGAUGAAGGCCCUCGGGUUGUAAACUGCUUUUGUACGGAACGAAAAGCCUGGGGCUAAUAUCCUCGGGUCAUGACGGUACCGUAAGAAUAAGCACCGGCUAACUACGUGCCAGCCGCCGCCGUAAGAC